GUGCUCACUUUGGUAGCACAUAUACUAAAGUUGGAACAAUAUAGAGAAGACAAGCAUGGUCUCUGAGUAAGACCCAUAAGUUGGUGAAGCAUGCCUCACUAAA
rnacentral:snRNA from 1 species